AUGACGCUGCGUCGAAGGCGUGUGGGUGGCGCCCGGCCGGAGGGGCCGAGAGGCGGGGGCGGCGCGGGGCGGGAGGAGGCAGAGGGCAGGGCAACACCCCUCCGCCCCCUCCCCCGCGCCUCUAUUCUCCCCCUCCCGACACCCCCUACCUUCCUCUCCUCCCUCCCCGCCCCCACAACUGGGCUGGUCCUCCUCCAUCCACUCCUCCCCCCAUUCACUCCUCCCCUCAAGCCCUCUCACCUCCCCUUCCCUCCCCCAUCCACUCCUCCCCACAUCCCCUCACCUCCCUGUCCCUCCCCGUGCCCCAAUCCCCGCAAACCUGGGCUGCUCCUGCCCCUUCCACGCCUUCCUGCUCCCUCCCUCCCUGUCCCCUUCCCCUCCUCCCCACCCCCAUCUCCCCUUUACCCUCUUUCUUCCCAAACCCCUCUUCCUUCCUCUCCUUCCCCACAGGCCACUUCUCCUUUCCCCCUCCUGGCCCCCUGUCUCCUCCUCCCAUCCCCCACCCCGGCUUUAGUCUCCCAUCCCCCCUACACCCCCUUGCCUCUGCCUCCUCACAGCCCCCUACUUAUCCUAUUGCCUCCCUCCUGGGGCCCCUUCAGAUCCCUAGGGCCUCUUUGUCUCUCUCUGUUUUCUCCCAUUCCAGCCCCUGAUGACCAGGCCCCGCACCUCUGCUGGGGUCUGCCGCACACAGUAAGCUGCCUGGGAGUCCUCAUUGCCUUCCUGGGCAACCCAGCUAAAGGCCGCCCAGCAGCUGCAGCCCUGGAGAUGACAAAUCUGAGACCAAAGAUGAAUCAGCUUGGCAGUGUUCACAGAGCCAGCCUGUGGAAAAGCCAGAAUCCAGAAUCCAGUCCCAGGCCCUGCCUGCAGCAUCCCGGCUCUUACUGACACCUAAACGGCCACUGCCUCUUGGCUUAGUGCUCUUCCUUCUAAAAA
rnacentral:lncRNA from 1 species